rnacentral:rRNA from 1 species
CGUAGGGUGCGAGCGUUGUCCGGAAUUAUUGGGCGUAAAGGGCUCGUAGGCGGUCUGUCACGUCGGGAGUGAAAACUCGGGGCUCAACCCCGAGCCUGCUUCCGAUACGGGCAGACUAGAGGUAUGCAGGGGAGAACGGAAUUCCUGGUGUAGCGGUGAAAUGCGCAGAUAUCAGGAGGAACACCGGUGGCGAAGGCGGUUCUCUGGGCAUUACCUGACGCUGAGGAGCGAAAGUGUGGGGAGCGAACAGGAUUAGAUACCCUGGUAGUCCACACCGUAAACGUUGGGCGCUAGGUGUGGGACUCAUUCCACGAGUUCCGUGCCGCAGCUAACGCAUUAAGCGCCCCGCCUGGGGAGUACGGCCGCAAGGCUA